AUUGAACGCUGGCGGCAGGCCUAACACAUGCAAGUCGAGCGGCAGCGGGAAAGUAGCUUGCUACUUUUGCCGGCGAGCGGCGGACGGGGGAGUAAUGCCUGGGAAAUUGCCCAGUCGAGGGGGAUAACAGUUGGAAACGACUGCUAAUACCGCAUACGCCCUACGGGGGAAAGCAGGGGACCUUCGGGCCUUGCGCGAUUGGAUAUGCCCAGGUGGGAUUAACUAGUUGGUGAGGUAAUGGCUCACCAAGGCGACGAUCCCUAGCUGGUCUGAGAGGAUGAUCAGCCACACUGGAACUGAGACACGGUCCAGACUCCUACGGGAGGCAGCAGUGGGGAAUAUUGCACAAUGGGGGAAACCCUGAUGCAGCCAUGCCGCGUGUGUGAAGAAGGCCUUCGGGUUGUAAAGCACUUUCAGCGAGGAGGAAAGGUUGGUAGCUAAUAACUGCCAGCUGUGACGUUACUCGCAGAAGAAGCACCGGCUAACUCCGUGCCAGCCGCCGCGGUAACAC
rnacentral:rRNA from 1 species